AGAUGGCAGAGCGGUUUAAUGCAUUGGUUUUGAAAACCAACGUAAAGAAAUUUACCGAGGGUUCGAAUCCCUCUCUCUCC
rnacentral:tRNA from 1 species